AUUGAACGCUGGCGGCAGGCCUAACACAUGCAAGUCGAGCGGAUGAAGGGAGCUUGCUCCUGGAUUCAGCGGCGGACGGGUGAGUAAUGCCUAGGAAUCUGCCUGGUAGUGGGGGAUAACGUCCGGAAACGGGCGCUAAUACCGCAUACGUCCUGAGGGAGAAAGUGGGGGAUCUUCGGACCUCACGCUAUCAGAUGAGCCUAGGUCGGAUUAGCUAGUUGGUGGGAUAAAGGCCUACCAAGGCGACGAUCCGUAACUGGUCUGAGAGGAUGAUCAGUCACACUGGAGCUGAGACACGGUCCAGACUCCUACGGGAGGCAGCAGUGGGGAAUAUUGGACAAUGGGCGAAAGCCUGAUCCAGCCAUGCCGCGUGUGUGAAGAAGGUCUUCGGAUUGUAAAGCACUUUAAGUUGGGAGGAAGGGCAGUAAGUUAAUACCUUGCUGUUUUGACGUUACCAACAGAAUAAGCACCGGCUAACUUCGUG
rnacentral:rRNA from 1 species